rnacentral:misc_RNA from 1 species
GAACUGCGAUAAGUAAUGUGAAUUGCAGAAUUCAGUGAAUCAUCGAGUCUUUGAACGCACAUUGCGCCCCCUGGCAUUCCGGGGGGCAUGCCUGUCCGAGCGUCAUUGCUGCCCAUCAAGCCCGGCUUGUGUGUUGGGUCGUCGUCCCCUCCGGGGGACGGGCCCGAAAGGCAGCGGCGGCACCGCGUCCGGUCCUCGAGCGUAUGGGGCUUUGUCACCCGCUCGAUAAGGACCGGCCGGGCGCCAGCCGGCGUCUCCAACCUUUUUUUCUCAGGUUGACCUCGGAUCAGGUAGGGAUACCCGCUGAACUUAAGC